rnacentral:lncRNA from 1 species
GGAGAGGAGAGGCACACACCUGGCUGGAGAAUGUUGAUCAAAUAGGCUUGAUUUGGUGUAGAGGGCACGACAGGGGACCCCAGAGGAAGCAAGAGCAAGAACAGAGGAUGAGCUCAAACAGCACCUGAGAGAGAGGCCAGGACUCCGAGAGAGACACGGCCCCUGGGGAGGCACUGGCAUUUGGAGCAGGGAGUGAGAUCAUCUACCCUGGGCUUUAAGCACUGAGAAAGAAAAAAAGUCAGGAAGAAAGGCAAUACUGCAGAAAAUUCAUGAAAAAUAGCCAGCCAGUUUUUUUUUUUUUUUUUUUUAAUGUGGAGAACAAAAAUGAGAGAGGAGGCCUGAGGAACUGGCAUGAGGAGAAAGGAGCAUUUGCUGUUAUAUACGGCAGAAGCCACUGUCCUACCCGAAGUGAUGAAUUCCCCAAGGCCGGAGCUUCAGGAGACAUACGUGCAGGGCUCUCUGGGAGUAGCCCGCCAGGAUGCAAGCUGACUGCCAGGGUGUGCAGGAACAAGCACAGAGCAUGAUGGAAGCCCCAAAGAGGAACUCCCAGAUCAACAUUGUUGGAUCCAAGAAGUCUUCCUGGAAGACAUGGCAAUUGAGCAAAGUCCUAAGGAUGCCUUACUCCACAGCUGUUCAGCAGCUACACGGGCAGAGAGUCCCUGUUAUCUGACCACACUAAAGAUUCUGCACUGAGAGUUCUGGCUAAGGUUAAAAAAAAUGUCUACUUAUCACCCUAUCCACGUGGUUUGGGAGGUUGAGAGCAGGACAAAAACUCAGAUGUCUGACAUCCUUACAGUGCUGUUCUCUCCAGAACUGAG